AUGGACGUCAGCGAUGCCAGGGGCGCA
rnacentral:sRNA from 1 species